AGUGAACGCUGGCGGCAGGCUUAACACAUGCAAGUCGAACGCCCCGCAAGGGGAGUGGCAGACGGGUGAGUAACGCGUGGGAAUAUCCCCUUUGGUUCAGGAUAGCCCCGGGAAACUGGGAUUAAUACUGGAUAAGAUCUACGGAUGAAAGAUUUAUCGCCGAAGGAUUAGCCCGCGUAAGAUUAGCUAGUUGGUGAGGUAAUGGCUCACCAAGGCUACGAUCUUUAGCUGGUCUGAGAGGAUGAUCAGCCACACUGGAACUGAGACACGGUCCAGACUCCUACGGGAGGCAGCAGUGAGGAAUAUUGGACAAUAGGCGCAAGCCUGAUCCAGCCAUGCCGCGUGAGUGAUGAAGGCCCUAGGGUUGUAAAACUCUUUUAGUUGGGAAAAUAAUGAUGGUACCAACAGAAAAAGCUCCGGCUAACUUCGUGCCAGCAGCCGCGGUAA
rnacentral:rRNA from 1 species